UGCACGUUCUGAUGCUAAUUUACUUGAAUGGAGCAGAUAAUCUUGUCGUGAAAAAAAAUAGAACAGAUUUAGUUAGCUUAUGGUAUGGUAUGCAGUUGGAAAUUGAUUUGUUUAGAGUUAAGGUGCGAACAUGGUCAUUGUUCAUUUGUCUUAUUUAGAGCAGAUAAUCUUAUUUAGAGUUUAGAUCAGAUAAUCUUAUUUAUUGAGGGAUUAUACAGGCUUCCAAGUGAUAAAAACAGGCCUUGCUCCCUGUUUGGUUCCUGUUUUUGUUUGAUCACAAUUUGGGUAGUGGUGUGUGGGAGGAACAGCCUGCUUGAUCCAAGUGCAUGCAGAUCGAGAUGCUGCAAUGCAAGGGGGUAAAUGGCUGUGGACAAAAAGGAGGAUGGCAGAUCAUCCAAUCUUAUCGUUGACAACCGGCUCUAUCAGAACCCAGGACCUUGCAGGCUGCAGGGGUUUUUUUGGUGGUGAAAUUUGUGCUGAUGGAAUAGGUGCACCUUCACUAAUGGUGGAAAAUGCAAGGACUCAGGUGAGUAGAAGCAUGGGUGAGGAGCCUUUAGUAUAGAAAAUCCUGGAUGAAGUCAGCUAGAAAAGAAGAGUACACGAGAAAAGAAAAGAUUACACAAAAUUAUUUACAUUCUAUGUGUGGAAGAUAUCUUUUUUAGUAACAGGCAUUUUUCAGUUUGUAAAUUAUUUUCAUUCUAUAUAUUUGUAGAAGAUGCCUUGUUUUGUCUUCUACAAAGGAUAAAAGUGCAGUUAGAGGAAAAGAAGUAAGCCCUUAUUAUUUUUUUAAAGAAUAAGUAGAGUAGUAAUGAGAGCAGGACAUACACACCAUAUCUGAAUUUACCAAAUAUUAAUUUCAGGCUUGCUGUUUCAUGGACCAAGAUAAUGUUUUGUUGACCAGCAAUGCAGAGGUCGUUCCUCUAUUUAUUCCAGCAUUGCCUUGUUCUCAAUAUUGUUCAGAGAACAUAGAUAUAUUAAUAGAUGCAUAUUUCAAGUUCGUGAUAUAUGAUGAGUCCUAAAGAAAGCACUAGGAGCAGCUACGUAACAACAUAUACCUUU